rnacentral:rRNA from 1 species
GUGCACCAGGCGCGAAUCCUCUGCAAUGCGCGCAAGCGCGACAGGGCUACCCCGAGUGCCGCCCGCUGAGGGCGGCUUUUCUCCGGUGUAAUGAGUCGGAGGAAUAAGGGGAGGGCAAGCCUGGUGUCAGCCGCCGCGGUAAUACCAGCUCCCCGAGUGGUGGGGACGGUUAUUGGGCCUAAAAGCGUCCGUAGCCGGUUCGGCAAGUCCUCCGUUAAAGCCAACGAUCCAAUCGUUGGAAUGCGGGGGAUACUGCCGGACUAGGGGGCGGGAGAGGCCGACGGUACUCCU